rnacentral:sRNA from 1 species
GUUGAACGACGAGUUGACGUGUGCAACGCCCGACGUAAUGUUCUUGCGCUCGCGACGGCGAACGCGGGUGGCUUCCUU